rnacentral:lncRNA from 1 species
CUGUAACUGAUGCUCAUCUAUUAAACUAUAUAUUGAGAUUUGGGGGUUAUGGCAUGCGUGGGGGGUGGGUGGGAGGUGGAAGAUUUUCUCGUGGGUUUGAACCCACCCCAACUGAAAAAUGGUAAUUUUCGUCUAUUUUCUGAUUUUAAAACGACCUUGAGAGGUGAACAUUGACCAGACUGUGUUUCUUUGUCAUUCAAGUCUCACCCUAUAGAUACAGCAGUCUAUUCAUGCUAACUGGGAGUUUAUGGGACUUAAGUGUCUUGCUGGCGAAUUAUUAUUGUUAAGUCAGGUCUGCCUAAAUGUCUGUUUUUACAGAUUUUUGACAAAACAGUGACCUAGAUUUU